UACGGAGGGUGCAAGCGUUAUCCGGAUUUACUGGGUUUAAAGGGUGUGUAGGCGGACUAUUUAAGUCCGUGGUGAAAUCUCCGGGCUCAACCCGGAAACUGCCAUGGAUACUAUUAGUCUUGAAUGUUGUGGAGGUGGGCGGAACGGGUCAUGUAGCGGUGAAAUGCUUAGAGAUGACCCGGAACACCGAUUGCGAAGGCAGCCCACUACGCAACUAUUGACGCUCAGGCACGAAAGCGUGGGGAGCAAACAGG
rnacentral:rRNA from 1 species